AAAGUUUUUGGGCUAAGAAAGCCCAAGAAUUUCGCAAACAAGCCCAGAAAAUGUCACUUCUUUCUUUAUUUAGAUAGUGACCAACUUUCAGGUGCACCCUUAAGAGAGACGUAGAAAGCUAGAACUGGAACACUGUCAUUCCUUAUUUGUAGUGGCUGGCCAACAUUGGCCACUAACCCUCUUUCAAUACCAGUGAAGGUAACCAUACAUUUCCUUUACAGCAUCAAGAGAGAUCCUUGCUAUUAUUGAGUUAAAAUGAAGUUUGAAAAGUUAGUAGCAAACCAGCUUUGAGUGCUGUCACAGCUCAUCUCUGUUGUGGAACACUGAUAUUGAAUUACCAGAUCCGGCCGAAGCAAGACUAAGAAACCAACAAAAUAUGACACCUGGGGCUCCUGGUGUGGGUACUGGUUCAGUGUCCAUUGCAAGAAACAGCAGAACAGCUUCUCUCUGUAGAGAAAUUAAAAUUGUCCAAGAUUUGAUCGAAAGGUGUCUUCAACUUUAUAUGAAUAAAGAUGAAGUGGUUAAGACACUCUUAGAACAAGCUAGAAUUCAGCCUGGCUUUACAAGCAUAGUAUGGAAUAGAUUGGAGCAAGAAAACGCAGGAUUUUUUAAGGCCUAUUACACAAAGUUAGUUUUGAAGAAACAAAUUGCUAAGUUCAAUGAAUUACUUGAGAAUCACCACAAUUUGCUGAGUUAUGCUGCACCUCUAGAGGCUCCCUUGGCUUCCAUGCAGGAAGGCAUUCAGCGCAUGCCAGUUAACCAUUUACAUAAGGUAUAUACCCUCCCGCAGCAGCAUCCAAUUCCAUCAACUAGUAAUUCCCAGAAUGAUUCCACAGGCACCAUUUCCAACUAUGACCCGGUAUAUGAAAACCCAGAAUGUGACAAUUUCCUCUCAACUCAGAUGAAUUAUGGGAUAUGGAUGGCAGUGGACAAUAAUGCAGCAGAUAUAGAACCUAACCAUCCUUUUAUGAAGCCAGAGAUUCCAAGUCCUGUAUCAGUUACAUCCCAUGAUCAUUUUCCUUUCAUUCCAAGAGAGAUACAAGAGAGUGUGGCCCCAUCAGCUGUUGAAUUUGCUGAGUUAUCUCAUUUGCAAAGUGUAAGACAGGUGCCACUUGGACCUGGUAAUGCUAGCUUCAAUAACUUGGUAGAAGGUGAGACAAACACAUUAUAUUCUGAAGCUCUUCGUGGUGCUGGUCUGCUAGGUUAUAAUCUAUGGUGUGUGUGUGUGUGUGUGUGUGUGUGUGUGUGUGUGAUCAUUCUAAAUUAUUUCCAGGUAAUUCACUGUUUCAUCUAUCAAAUCAUUAACUGACUCAAGGAAACUCAACAACAGCAAUUAAGCAAAAACUGCAUUAGACUUGAUUACAUAAUAUGAUAAAAAUCCCCCUUUUAUUUGCUGAGUUGCUUAAUUCAUGCUAUUCUUUCAUAUGCUGAGCAGCGUAUUCAGGUUCCAGUUCUACUGGAUUGCUUCAUCCUUCAGAGCAAAAUGACAAUGUCGAGGAGUUCUUUGUCGAUACCUUUCCUGCCGCAAGCUCUCAAUCAGAAGAAGAAUCUUAAGUGAAGCCCUCACAGUUUUAGCCCUAGUUUAUAUUUAGCUAGAUCUUAGUUUGAACUCGAGAAGUUUCCCUACUUUGCUUGACUUUCUAGAGGGAUCUAGUGCACUAUGGUGAAUUUGAAACCUUAAAGCAGAUUAAGGCAGGCAUCAAUAAGCGUUCUGCUAUAUUUUAUCUUUCUAAUAAGCAAAUUCACCUGCAUUUUGCUGCGGGCCAAAUAAAAAAAUAAUUUUAAUGCAAUAAAAAAAUGUACAGACAUUAUUAAUAUAUUUUUACAUCCAGAAAGUUUUUAUUUA